AGCGAACGCUGGCGGCAGGCUUAACACAUGCAAGUCGAGCGGGCACUUUCGGGUGUCAGCGGCGGACGGGUGAGUAACGCGUGGGAACGUGCCCUCUGGUUCGGAAUAACUCAGGGAAACUUGAGCUAAUACCGGAUACGCCCUUUUGGGGAAAGGCUUGCUGCCGGAGGAUCGGCCCGCGUCUGAUUAGCUAGUUGGUGAGGUAACGGCUCACCAAGGCGCCGAUCAGUAGCUGGUCUGAGAGGAUGAUCAGCCACACUGGGACUGAGACACGGCCCAGACUCCUACGGGAGGGAGCAGUGGGGAAUAUUGGACAAUGGGCGCAAGCCUGAUCCAGCCACGACGCGUGAGUGAUGAAGGCCUUAGGGUUGAAAAGCUCUUUUAUCCGGGACGAUAAUGACGGUACCGGAGGAAUAAGCCCCGGCUAACUUCGUG
rnacentral:rRNA from 1 species